GAUGAACGCUGGCGGCGUGCCUAAUACAUGCAAGUCGAGCGAACGGACGAGAAGCUUGCUUCUCUGAUGUUAGCGGCGGACGGGUGAGUAACACGUGGAUAACCUACCUAUAAGACUGGGAUAACUUCGGGAAACCGGAGCUAAUACCGGAUAAUAUUUUGAACCGCAUGGUUCAAAAGUGAAAGACGGUCUUGCUGUCACUUAUAGAUGGAUCCGCGCUGCAUUAGCUAGUUGGUAAGGUAACGGCUUACCAAGGCAACGAUGCAUAGCCGACCUGAGAGGGUGAUCGGCCACACUGGAACUGAGACACGGUCCAGACUCCUACGGGAGGAAGCAGUAGGGAAUCUUCCGCAAUGGGCGAAAGCCGGACGGAGCAACGCCGCGUGAGUGAUGAAGGUCUUCGGAUCGUAAAACGCUGUUAUUAGGGAAGAACAUAUGUGUAAGUAACUGUGCACAUCUUGACGGUACCUAAUCAGAAAGCCACGGCUAACUAAGUG
rnacentral:rRNA from 1 species